rnacentral:rRNA from 1 species
AAAAAAGGUAAGCUACUAAGAGCGAAUGGUGGAUGCCUUGACUGGUAAAGGCGAUGAAGGACGUACUAGACUGCGAUAAGCUACGGGGAGCUGUCAAGAAGCUUUGAUCCGUAGAUUUCCGAAUGGGGCAACCCAAUGUAUAGAGAUAUACAUUACCUAUAUAGGAGCGAACGAGGGGAAUUGAAACAUCUUAGUACCCUCAGGAAAAGAAAUCAAUAGAGAUUGCGUCAGUAGCGGCGAGCGAAAGCGCAAGAGGGCAAACCCAGUGCUUGCACUGGGGGUUGUAGGACUGCAAUGUGCAAGAGCUGAGUUUAGCAGAACAUUCUGGAAAGUAUAGCCAUAGAGGGUGAUAGUCCCGUAUGCGAAAAACAAAGCUUAGCUAGCAGUAUCCUGAGUAGGGCGGGACACGAGGAAUCCUGUCUGAAUCCGGGUCGACCACGAUCCAACCCUAAAUACUAAUACCAGAUCGAUAGUGCACAAGUACCGUGAGGGAAAGGUGAAAAGAACUGAGGUGAUCAGAGUGAAAUAGAACCUGAAACCAUUUGCUUACAAUCAUUCAGAGCACUAUGUAGCAAUACAGUGUGAUGGACUGCCUUUUGCAUAAUGAGCCUGCGAGUUGUGGUGUCUGGCAAGGUUAAGCAAACGCGAAGCCGUAGCGAAAGCGAGUCUGAAUAGGGCGCUUAGUCAGAUGCUGCAGACCCGAAACGAAGUGAUCUAUCCAUGAGCAAGUUGAAGCUAGUGUAAGAACUAGUGGAGGACUGAACCCAUAGGCGUUGAAAAGCCCCGGGAUGACUUGUGGAUAGGGGUGAAAGGCCAAUCAAACUUCGUGAUAGCUGGUUCUCUCCGAAAUAUAUUUAGGUAUAGCGUUGUGUCGUAAUAUAAGGGGGUAGAGCACUGAAUGGGCUAGGGCAUACACCAAUGUACCAAACCCUAUCAAACUCCGAAUACCUUAUAUGUAAUCACAGCAGUCAGGCGGCGAGUGAUAAAAUCCGUCGUCAAGAGGGAAACAACCCAGACUACCAGCUAAGGUCCCUAAAUCUUACUUAAGUGGAAAACGAUGUGAAGUUACUUAAACAACCAGGAGGUUGGCUUAGAAGCAGCCAUCCUUUAAAGAAAGCGUAAUAGCUCACUGGUCUAGUGAUUUUGCGCGGAAAAUAUAACGGGGCUAAAGUAAGUACCGAAGCUGUAGACUUGCACACAACUUAGAUUAUUUAAGUUUAGAAUAAGUAGUUUAAGUUGUGUGCAAGUGGUAGGAGAGCGUUCUAUUUGCGUCGAAGGUAUACCGGUAAGGAGUGCUGGAGCGAAUAGAAGUGAGCAUGCAGGCAUGAGUAGCGAUAAUUAAUGUGAGAAUCAUUAACGCCGUAAACCCAAGGUUUCCUACGCGAUGCUCGUCAUCGUAGGGUUAGUCGGGUCCUAAGUCGAGUCCGAAAGGGGUAGACGAUGGCAAAUUGGUUAAUAUUCCAAUACCAACAUUAGUGUGCGAUGGAAGGACGCUUAGGGCUAAGGGGGCUAGCGGAUGGAAGUGCUAGUCUAAGGUUGUAGGAGGUUA